rnacentral:rRNA from 1 species
UACAGAGGUCUCAAGCGUUGUUCGGAUUCAUUGGGCGUAAAGGGCGCGUAGGCUGCGGGGCAAGUCGGGUGUGAAAUCUCAGAGCUCAACUCUGAAACUGCACUCGAUACUGCUUUGCUCGAGGACUGGAGAGGAGAUUGGAAUUCACGGUGUAGCAGUGAAAUGCGUAGAUAUCGUGAGGAAGACCAGUGGCGAAGGCGGAUCUCUGGACAGUUCCUGACGCUGAGGCGCGAAGGCCAGGGGGAGGCAAAACGGGG